GUGAUUAGUGGCAGAAAGUGUUCCAAGAUUAUUAUCCUCCAACACCAUGCUAUUGGAAAUGCAUUUAAUUUAUGAGGACAGCUCUCUUCAUUUCUCCUGCCAGGAUCUGCCUGGUUCCUUCAGCUAACAACACACCACUGAUCAGCAAGAGAUUAUGUUCCACUACAGGGACCCGCCAGGGUUCUUCAGCUUCUACAUCUCUUUUGAAAGAGUGAUGGAAAGUGGUGGCAUAAACAUCCUAAGCUUCAUCUUCCUUUCUUAAACACUGAGCGACCCAGAUGAGAACAAGAAAGCACCC
rnacentral:lncRNA from 1 species